rnacentral:rRNA from 1 species
UGGGGAAUAUUGGACAAUGGGCGCAAGCCUGAUCCAGCCAUGCCGCGUGAGUGACGAAGGUCUUCGGAUUGUAAAACUCUUUUGGCGGGGACGAUAAUGACGGUACCCGCAGAAUAAGCCCCGGCUAACUUCGUGCCAGCAGCCGCGGUAAUACGAAGGGGGCUAGCGUUGUUCGGAAUCACUGGGCGUAAAGCGCACGUAGGCGGAUGUGCCAGUCAGGGGUGAAAUCCCGGAGCUCAACUCCGGAACUGCCUCUGAUACUGCACGUCUUGAGUUCGAGAGAGGUGGGUGGAAUUCCUAGUGUAGAGGUGAAAUUCGUAGAUAUUAGGAAGAACACCGGUGGCGAAGGCGGCCCACUGGCUCGAUACUGACGCUGAGGUGCGAAAGCGUGGGGAGCAAACAGGAUUAGAUACCCCCGUAGUCCCUGAGCGGGCUGGCAAGGCGCAU